CUGUGGGAGGUGCCACCCCCGGGGCGCCGUGCCCCGGUGUCACCCGUGUCCCCCCCCCGGUGUCCCCGCAGGUGUUCACGCUGGACGCGCCGCGCAGCUUCCACGGGUGCUACAGCCCCUUCGGGGCGGGCGAGCGGGUGACACUGUUGGGGACAUUGGCCACCCGCCUGGCCACCCUCUGCGCCACCCUGGGCGUCUACCCGGCCGUGCGCUACCGCAGGGGCCCCGAGGACAACGCGGUGCUGGCCCAGGAGCUGCUCGUCCGCCUCGACGCCCUCCGGGCCGACAACCCCGCCAUGGUCGAGGGUCGCACGCAGCUGCUCAUCGUGGACCGGAGCUUCGACCUGGUGACGCCGCUGCUGCACGAGUUGACGCUGCAGGCGAUGGCCUACGACCUGCUGGACCUCCAGCACGACACCUACCGGUGCGUGUCACCAGCACCCAAGGGUGGGGGGCACCCAAGGGUGCCUGCGGUCUCCUCCGGGGCCCAUCCGGAUCCGUGGUUGCUCCAUGGCCCAUCCGUGGUUGCUCCAUGGCCCAUCCGUGGUUGCUCCACGGCCAAUGGGUGGUUGCUCCAUGGCCAAUG
rnacentral:lncRNA from 1 species